rnacentral:rRNA from 1 species
AUUGAACGCUGGCGGCAUGCUUUACACAUGCAAGUCGAACGGUAACAGGGUGCUUGCACCGCUGACGAGUGGCGAACGGGUGAGUAAUGCAUCGGAACGUACCGUGUAGUGGGGGAUAACGUAGCGAAAGUUACGCUAAUACCGCAUACGCCCUGAGGGGGAAAGCGGGGGAUCUUCGGACCUUGAGCUAUAUGAGCGGCCGAUGUCGGAGUAGCUAGUUGGUGGGGUAAAGGCCUACCAAGGCAACGAUCCGUAGCGGGUCUGAGAGGAUGAUCCGCCACACUGGGACUGAGACACGGCCCAGACUCCUACGGGAGGCAGCAGUGGGGAAUUUUGGACAAUGGGCGAAAGCCUGAUCCAGCCAUGCCGCGUGAGUGAAGAAGGCCUUCGGGUUGUAAAGCUCUUUCAGCUGGAAAGAAAACGCUUGGGAUAAUACCCCAGGCGGAUGACGGUACCAGCAGAAGAAGCACCGGCUAACUACGUGCCAGCCGCCGCGGUAAAAC